UACGUAGGGGGCAAGCGUUGUCCGGAGUUACUGGGCGUAAAGCGCACGCAGGCGGUCUCUUAAGUUUGGAGUGACAGUUGGUGGCUUAACUGCCAAAGUGCUUCGAAAACUGAGAGACUUGAGGGCUUCAGAGGGACACGGAAUUCCGGGUGGAGUGGUGAAAUGCGUAGAGAUCCGGAGGAACACCAAAGGCGAAGGCAGUGGUCCUGGGGAGUAGCCUGACGCUCAGGUGCGAAAGCCAGG
rnacentral:rRNA from 1 species